AAUCAAGUGCCUUAAGGGUGUUCGGUGGAUGCCUUGGCGCUAAGAGGCGAUGAAGNACGUGCUACGCUGCGAUAAG
rnacentral:rRNA from 1 species